rnacentral:rRNA from 1 species
CACGGCCCAGACUCCUACGGGAGGCAGCAGUGGGGAAUUUUGGACAAUGGGCGCAAGCCUGAUCCAGCAAUGCCGCGUGAGUGAAGAAGGCCUUCGGGUUGUAAAGCUCUUUUGUCAGGGAAGAAACGGUGGAGGUUAAUACCUUCUGCUAAUGACGGUACCUGAAGAAUAAGCACCGGCUAACUACGUGCCAGCAGCCGCGGUAAUACGUAGGGUGCAAGCGUUAAUCGGAAUUACUGGGCGUAAAGCGUGCGCAGGCGGUUGUGCAAGACAGAUGUGAAAUCCCCGGGCUCAACCUGGGAAUUGCAUUUGUGACUGUACGGCUAGAGUGUGUCAGAGGGGGGUAGAAUUCCACGUGUAGCAGUGAAAUGCGUAGAGAUGUGGAGGAAUACCGAUGGCGAAGGCAGCCCCCUGGGAUAACACUGACGCUCAUGCACGAAAGCGUGGGGAGCAAACAGGAUUAGAUACCCUGGUAGUCCACGCCCUAAACGAUGUCUACUAGUUGUCGGGUCUUUAUUGACUUGGUAACGCAGCUAACGCGUGAAGUAGACCGCCUGGGGAGUACGGUCGCAAGAUUAAAACUCAAAGGAAUUGACGNA